UCGGCUGAGUGUGGCUCACACUCAGCCAUGUAGCAGUUUUUAAUUUGAUAAAUGAUUAAAAGUAGCAAACACAUUCUCUCUCCUCUUAUGCAUAUUUUCUAUGCCUGUUUUACCCUCUAUUGCCACUGUUUACAUUAUGUCCUCUAAAAACUCCAUUGGAGUGAUUAUUCAACAACCGCAGCCACCACUAACAGGCGCCGGCGCCGCCAUCUCAAACCCAACAGACCUCACUUCGAGCGCCUCUGCCUCCUCCGCAAAGCCCAAGCUUUGAGAUCACUCAAACAUCCAGUGCUCUAUCGCGUCUUCAUCUUGUCAGUGACGGAGGAGGUAUCAGAGGCUACAACCACCUUUGUCGGGAGUGAUGGUAACAACUAUAAUCGGGGCAACCAAUUUGCAAAAGCCUAAAACAUGAGUUGAACUGCAAGACCAACCAGCAGAAGAAUCCCAAAAUCCCCAAAAAUUCAAAAUUAGGGUUUCUUUCCCCAGAUUGAAAAUCCAAAUUUGAAGUGCAACCAGAAAAUGUGGUGAAAGAGAAGUGUGAGAAGAAGCUUGCGAAGGUGAUAGCAAACAA